rnacentral:rRNA from 1 species
UACGUAGGGCGCAAGCGUUGUCCGGAAUUAUUGGGCGUAAAGAGCUCGUAGGCGGCUUGUCACGUCGGUUGUGAAAGCCCGGGGCUUAACCCCGGGUCUGCAGUCGAUACGGGCAGGCUAGAGUUCGGUAGGGGAGAUCGGAAUUCCUGGUGUAGCGGUGAAAUGCGCAGAUAUCAGGAGGAACACCGGUGGCGAAGGCGGAUCUCUGGGCAUCUCCUGACGCUGAGGCGCGAAAGCGUGGGGAGCAAACAGG